rnacentral:rRNA from 1 species
AAGUCGUAACAAGGUUUCCGUAGGUGAACCUGCGGAAGGAUCAUUAUCGAGUUAGGGGUCCUGCCCCGAACCUCCCAACCCUUGAGAUCGAAAACUGUUGCCUCGGCGGGUCAGCCCCCGGGCCGUCGGCUUCUGCUGGCGAGCGCCCGUCGAUGGCCCAUUUUUAAAAUCUUGAACUUAUUUUCAAACAUUGCACCAUGUGCAGCAAACAUACAAAUCUUAAAACUUUCAACAACGGAUCUCUUGGUUCUGGCAUCGAUGAAGAACGCAGCGAAAUGCGAUAAGUAAUGUGAAUUGCAGAAUUCAGUGAAUCAUCGAAUCUUUGAACGCACAUUGCGCCCUCUGGUAUUCCGGGGGGCACGCCUGUCCGAGCGUCAUCGAAUCAAUCAAGCCCGGCUUGGUAUUGGGCCUCCCCCGCGAGGGCGUGCCCGAAUGACAGCGGCGCGGCCGCCGUGAGAAGAACGCAUUGGAAUUUUUUCGUUCUUGCCUCCCGGCGAUCGUUGCCACAGACUCAAUCUCUGAAAAUUGACCUCGGAUCAGACGAGAUUACCCGCUGAACUUAA